CUGGCCGCUACCCAAUGUUCUCUUUACUGAUGUUAACCCUAAAACUGUGGACCAGUAUUUGAUCACUCAAGAGGAAACCUUCACUUACCGCCAUGUUUCAACUUUAUUUGACACACUUUAUUAAGGCAGAGGAUUGUCCUUUAACAAUGGCUACUCAUGGAAAAAAAAACAACAGCAGUUUUCUAUGAGUCACCUGAAAAACUUUGGAGAGGGGAGGAAGACUCUAGAAAACAUAUUCAACGAGAGUGCUACUUUCUGUGUGGAACAUUUAAAGAAGAGCAGGUGGCCAGUGUUAUUGGUAGCCUGGUGUUCGGCCAUCAAUAUGAGUAUUAUGAUGUUGAUUUCGAGAAGCAUCUACAAAUGAGCGCAGAGUCAAUGUUUCAGGUAGCCAAAUAAUUUUUCUGUCAAUUUUAAACCACAACUGUAAAACAUAUGAAAUUCAGCCAAAUAAUUCAGCAGAGAUCCAUUGACAGGCAAAAGGCAGUGUCCAGGAGAGCACCUGGCUCACGUGGAGCUGUUCAUCUUUCUCACCAUUCUCCUGCAGAAUUUCAGUUUCAGCCCUCCUCCUGGUGAGGAGGUUCCAGUCUGGAGAGCCAGGUGGGCUUCACACAAGCCCCUCUGCAAGCUCUGCGUUCACCCGAGAUGCUAAAUCCUGCUGUUUGAGGAUGCAGUGUAUGGGGUAUAGCAAAUUUUAUGCAAGAAAUAUCACCCGCAGUUCCAUUAUGUUUAUUUGGGACUUUUUGAUAUAAAUAAUAAUUUUUUUUUUGCCAUUAUGUCCCACCAUUACAUAGAUGAUGAUCUGUACUAUAAACACAGGAAAUGUGCUCUGGCCUUAAACACUUACUUCCUGAAUACACAAGGAAAGAAUUUGUUCUGUCUGAAAACAAAACAGUUGUUAAACUGUGGGAACCUUUUUCAGAACCUCUGUUUAGCUCUUUAUGCAUUAUUUUGUUCCCUCCUACAACAUCUAUUGAUUAUGCAUAAGUUUUUAA